rnacentral:rRNA from 1 species
GACGAACGCUGGCGGCGUCCCUAAUACUUGCAAGUAGAACGCACAGUUUAUACCGUAGCUUGCUACACCAAAGACUGUGAGAUGCGAACGGGUGAGUAACGCGUAGGUAACCUGCCUGGUAGCGGGGGAUAACUAUUGGAAACGAUAGCUAAUACCGCAUAAUAUUAUUUAUUGCAUGAUAAUUAAUUGAAAGGUGCAAUCGCACCACUACCAGAUGGACCUGCGUUGUAUUAGCUAGUAGGUGAGGUAACGGCUCACCUAGGCGACGAUACAUAGCCGACCUGAGAGGGUGAUCGGCCACACUGGGACUGAGACACGGCCCAGACUCCUACGGGAGGCAGCAGUAGGGAAUCGUCGGCAAUGGACGAAAGUCUGACCGAGCAACACCGCGUGAGUGAAGAAGGGUUUCGGAUCGUAAAGCUCUGUUGUAAGAGAAGAACGGGAGUGAGAGUGGAAAGUUCACACUGUGACGGUAUCUUACCAGAAAGGGACGGCUAACUACGUG